GCAGCCUAGUUCAGUGGCUGUGGGUGUGAAUGCUCAUCCACCUUACAGAUGAUAUGAGCCACAAUGAUCUCAAACAUCUUUCCGCUAUGUUUCUAUGCUAAUAGUAGAAGAUGCAUUGCUCAGCCACAAUGAUAGUAGCUGGAGUGUUUUGGUUGAUAGACAGACAGAGUGGAAUGGAGAGAACCAGUAGACUCUGAUCAUCUCUGGAUUCAAUCUAUGUACAAGAUACAGAUGACAGUGGAAGAUGGGCAGAUGGAAGUGGCCAAGGUCAGGAUAACACAACAGGAGCAGAGCAGAGAAGGUGGGGAGGACUCAGCGCCACUGGAGGAGCCUGCAUCCACGAGUGCUCUUGCUGUGCUGCCAGGAGUGACGUCACCAGGAGGAAGAAAAUGGGCAAACCACUCCUUUUUGGAACAACCUAUUAGGAUGAAAUAAUGAUUCAUAAUAAAAAGUAAUGGGUCAUUCUGG